rnacentral:tRNA from 1 species
AUCUUUCUAGUAUUUAAAAUUAGUACAAAUGACUUCCAAUCAUUUAGUCUUGGUUAAAAUCCAAGGAAAGAUA